rnacentral:rRNA from 1 species
GAUGAACGCUGGCGGCGUGCUUAACACAUGCAAGUCGAACGGAAAGGCCCAAGCUUGCUUGGGUACUCGAGUGGCGAACGGGUGAGUAACACGUGGGGGAUCUGCCCUGCACUUCGGGAUAAGCCUGGGAAACUGGGGCUAAUACCGGAUAGGACGAUGUUUUGGAUGCCAUUGUGGAAAGUUUUUUCGGUGUGGGAUGAGCUCGCGGCCUAUCAGCUUGUUGGUGGGGUAAUGGCCUACCAAGGCGUCGACGGGGAGCCGGCCUGCGAGGGUGUACGGCCACACUGGGACGGUGAGACGGCCCAGACUCCUACGGGAGGCGGCAGGGGGGAAUAUUGGACAAUGCGCGCAAGCCUGAUGCAGCGACGCCGCGUGGGGGAUGACGGCCUUCGGGUUGUAAACUCCCUUCGCUAGGGACGAAGCGUUUUUGUGACGGUACCUGGAGAAGAAGCACCGGCUAACUACGUG